AUUUGUCCUUUGAUCAAUGUUUCAUGUUUUCGCUUCAAAUUUAAUGCUUGAUUGUUUAUAUUCGAUUUUGAAUCUGAGAUCAUCGAACCGUUUGAGUUUGGGGAUCGAUUACUGUUUUCCAAUGCCGAAGAAAAUAAGUCGUCGUUUCUCGUCGGUUACCAAUGGAGGGGUCGUUUUCAUGGUGGGCAAUUCUUUGCACAUCGGAGAGACGGCCCACGCCAACAAGUCGCACUUUCUUUCUUCCCUGACGAUUUUGCCCCUUGUUCUAUAAAUGUCCAUGUCCAAACUGUUUCUUUCUAAAAGGAUCGCUUUUUUGUUUGUGUGUUCGUGGGAUUUUCGUUUCCCGCAGAGAAACGUGUUUGGUGGGAGAGAAAGAGGAGGUUUGACUGCCAUCGGGCUGUCAAUGCGGAAAAAUUGACAGCCCGAUUUGGGAACAGCACACGGAAACUUCCUGAUUCGGUUUGAAAGGCCGAUAUGGGUUCUCUCCCUGGGAUAAUUCAGCGGCCAUUGGUUGCAGCAGCUGCCGUUGUUGCAGCUUCUUUUU